rnacentral:misc_RNA from 1 species
GAAAUGCGAUAAGUAGUGUGAAUUGCAGAAUUCAGUGAAUCAUCGAAUCUUUGAACGCACAUUGCGCCCCUCGGUAUCCCGGGGGGCAUGCCUGUUCGAGCGUCAUUUCUACCCCUCAAGCUUUGCUUGGUUUUGGAUAUUGUAGGCCUUUUGUAGGCAGCUACAUAUCUUAAAUAUAGACGGCAGUACGUACUAGUUCCGAGCGUAGCAGUAAAACAUUUCGCUUUUGGGAAUUCUAGUAUUCAACUUACCGUAAAAAGUACUACCACAGUUUGACCUCGGAUCAGGCAGGGAUACCCGCUGAACUUAA